rnacentral:misc_RNA from 1 species
UCCGAGUUGACCCCGGCAGUCUCCUAUGAGUCCCCACCAUCACGUGCUGGCAACAUAGAACGAGGGUUGCGCUCGUUGCGGGACUUAACCCAACAUCUCACGACACGAGCUGACGACAACCAUGCACCACCUGUGCACGACCCUAAAAGGACCCCGCAUCUCUGCGGGAUUUCCGUGCAUGUCAAGCCUAGGUAAGGUUCUUCGCGUUGCAUCGAAUUAAGCAACAUGCUCCGCCGCUUGUGCGGGCCCCCGUCAAUUCCUUUGAGUUUUAGCCUUGCGGCCGUACUCCCCAGGCGGGGUGCUUAAUGCGUUAGCUGCGGCACGAACGGCGUGGAAUACCGCUCACACCUAGCACCCACCGUUUACGGCGUGGACUAC